GCUCUUCCAGGAAGAUGGAAAGUGAGUGAUGACAGGAACGGAGUGUAGAGGGUAAUGGGGAGAGGUGGUCAGUGUAGAGGGUAAUGGGGAGAGGUGGUGAGUGUAGAGGGUAAUGGGGAGAGGUGGUGAGUGUAGAGGGUAAUGGGGAGAGGUGGUGAGUGUAGAGGGUAAUGGGGAGAGGUGGUGAGUGUAGAGGGUUAUGGGGAGAGGUGCUGAGUGAAGAGAGUAAUGGGGAGAGGUGCUGAGUGUAGAGGGUAAUGGGGAGAGGUGGGGAGUGUAGAGGGUAAUGGGGAGGGGUGGGGAGUGUAGAGGGUAAUGGGGAGAGGUGGUGAAUG